UCAAAAUACAAGAUCUCUUCCAUCUGGGCUCUCACGGCACUUUGAAGAUAAAGUGUAAAGUGACUAUGCGAAGCCUUUCUUUCAUUUACUGCACUUCUGCCAGCUGGAGAUGGAGACUGUGGAAUUAAAUGGAAAUAUUGUCAGAUCUGAUUUUAAGACAGGAAAAUCUUACACAAAUGUGGAACCGCUUGAGAGUUAGAUGACAGACUUUGGAUAUUUGGAGGUUGUGCUUUUCAAUUCAGACGUUCCAGUUGAAUUUGCAUCUUGAUUGUGAAAUUCUCUGCCUCUUGCGCUUUGUAUUUCUUUUUUAAUCUCUGCCUAGGUGCUAUUGCUGGAAGGCCCAGGCUCUGACAUGGAGACGGUCUCAUUAAAUCUCACAUCAUGGUGUGAGUUCAAACCUUAAUGGAUCAGUCAAAAGCACCUCACACACUGGCACCAUAAUGGCUCCUCUCUCUCAUGAGAAUUUUGAUCCAUGCCGAGGCUCGAUAAAUCCCACUUGUGGCGUGACUGCGGUUGAAAGAAAAUAAGUAAGAAGCAGGCUUAAUCAAUAGCUGCAAGCUGUUGUGCCAGUCCUUCAGCAGAGGAAGACUAAACCCAGAAUAAACUGCAAUGAGGACCAGACUUUAUGCUGCAUGUCAAACCUCUGACUACGCAAGAAUGGAUAUGAUUAAAAGUCAAAGAACCGCAUCCACACAUACACACAGAGGACAGGAAGAGGACAAACCAGAGUAUUAGCGUCAUUCAGGGGACCACAAUACUAAUGCAUUUGAGGGCUUCUACACUAGAUUACAAAUUCCCUCGGCCUGUCAACAAAAGCACCUGCUCACCGCUAGACGUUAAUUUGUUUUGACAUGCUUUAUAAUUUCAUUCCAACACAGAAUUAACUUCCAAUACCAAAAGCUAUUAGCCGGGGAAAUGGGGACGGCGGACUCCCGUGUGCUCGGUCCCAGGUGAGCCGGUUUCCUUUAACACCAGCGUUCCUGAAUUGCUUUCAUUGUGCUGUGGUGAAGCUCAAAGCUAAUGCAGUUCUUUGAAGAGCCUGGAUUGAUUCGCUCACAACGCUGCAGAACUGCCUCUCCCAACAUGAGUCAACGGCUUACUCUGUCUCCCAUCUAACGAUGUUAGGGAAUCAAAGGAGAAGUCUCCGCUGUUGAUUUUGGAGAGCCUGUGUGUGCUAAUAUAUGUUUGAUUAAGUUCAGGGUGCGCUGGGGUCGGGUCGAGGGCAGCCUCUCCACUGCAGGCUUUUAUGUCACUAUGCUGAUUACAGAAUUUAUUAAGGGUCAAUUAAAACCAGGCUCCGUGUUGGUUAUGCCACACCAAAAAAAAAGAGAUAGAUAGAUAGAUAGAUA